UCACUUAGCCAAGCACAAGCAACCUGGAAGUGUGCCAUGUCCAUCUCCUCAGCCGCUGAUGGAAUCUCACUCUCACAUGGUGAAAGAGCGGUGUGUGUCAGUGUCAGUCAGGAAUGAGAGACAGCAUCCCACUGUCUGGACUACUGGGGCCUAUGGUGUAAAAGCUUUAACACUGUACAGGGACCCCAGAAAGCCUCAGCUGUUGGCAGUGUAAUGAUAAUGGAAAGAGUACUGAUGAGAGCGGAUAUCUUUGUCUGGUGCCCCUGUGUAGUGCAAAACUUUGAGAUGCCAGAUGUUAUAUUGCGCUUCCAAUGAUCCAUCUUC